GCAACACGUCAAUCUUCAUUCCACAGGACGGGCCAUUUGUAGACAAAGAUGGACCGUGAGAGGAGACUGUGGGCUCAGCUGAUUGUCAGAUUGUCUAAAUGGCUUUUAACUUCUGCUUUGAAUGAAAAACAAAGAGAGGACACACGCGGCAUUGAAUUCAAUUGUGCGCCUGCGUGUGAAGUUUCCCAGCAUGCCAGAGUUUGUUUGAGACUACCUCCACGGCGGAAUACCAAGCAGAGAAGGCAUGGGGAAGAAAAGCCGGCUUCAUCUUGACUUGCAGACACUCUGUGAUCACUCUUAGCGCGUCUCCACCCUACAGCAGUCCACCUUAAAUUCAGCUUCCGUCUAUUUCCUGAAUCCAUUAUCCCUUUUAUGCGAUUCAUCUUCUGUGCGCCCUGUGGCUGCAGAGUGAGCCACUUCCUGUAACAAACUGGCGAUUGCUUGCAGGGCGUCGCCUAUAAGGGCUAAAGGAAUGGCUGUCGCCAAGGGCACGGGAAAGACAAAUAUUCAGGGUCUCGGGGGGCGCUGGUGCCUAUCUCAGCUACAUGUACAUUUGGGUGGAAGGCGGGGUACACCCUGGACAAGUCGCCACCUCACUGCAGGGUCAACACAGAUAGACAGAGAACUUUCACACUCACAUUCACACACUAGGGCCAAUUUAGUGUUGCCAACCAACCUAUCCCCAGGUGCAUGUCUUUGGAGGUGGGAGGAAGCCGGAGUACCCGGAGGGAACCCACGCAGUCACGGGGAGAACAUGCAAACUCCAAACAGAAAGAUCCCGAGCCCGGAAUUGAACCCGGGACUACUCAGGACCUUCGUAUUGUGAGGCAGACGCACUAACCCCUCUUCCACCGUGCUGAAGUUAAAUCCCAUUUCAUGAUUGCCUGCUCAGUGGCCCCGUGGUUAGAGUGUCAGCCCUGAGAUCGGUAGGUUGUGAGUUCCCGGCCAAGUCAUACCAAAGACUAUAAAAGUGGGACCCAAAACCUCCCUGCUUGACAUCAAGGGUUGAAAUUGGGGGUUAAAUCAGCAAAAUGAUUCCCGAGUGCAGCCCCCGCUGCUGCUCACUGCUCAUUCACCUCCCAGGGGGCGGAAUAAGGGGAUGGGUCAGUUGCAGAAGGUAAUUUCACCACGCCUAGUGUGUGUGUGACUAUCAGUGUACUUUAACUUUUAACUUUUAACCACCUGAACAGUUUGGGACAGUAAUAAAUGAGAGUAAUAUGUUUGAAAUAUUUUUUCCCUGCCACAAAUACUUUUUAGGGAUACUUGUGCAAAGACAUGCACCUGGGGAUAGGUUGAUUGGCAACACUAAAUUGGCCCUAGUGUUAUGACACACGCUCAGUCUUCCCUGCCUUCAUCUGCGGGAGCACUCGGCGGCUCCACUCUGAGUGCGUCCACACGCGCCACACCCAGACACGCCCCCUCGCGCGCAGCGCGGACCGCUCACACACACAACUGGAGACGAUCACCAAUCAAGACACCUGGCAGUGAUUACGGACGACAGAAUAAAGAUUCCCGCCGCUGAACCCUCGUCGUUGGAACGUUGCUAUUGCUUGCACCCCUGUCUCCAUUCCUGCUGCCAUCCUCUCUGGAACCCUGAUUUGCUCUCCUGGAUCCCUGACACAUUGCCUGGACUUUGGACGCUCUCGCCUGCCCCACGACCACGCUCGGACACCGGAUUGCUUUUGCCUUCUCCCUCUGGUUUUGGACGCCACCAUCCAACACGCAUGACAACAUUCUUUACGGUAUUUCCAUAUGUUAAUUCCAGCACAUAGUUCACACUCAAACACAUAGUAGCAUACACAUCCCACGUAAUCAUUAAUUACUCAAUAAAUAUUGAGUUGGACUUCCACUAUUGUGCCGUCUCCUUCCACCCGUCUUCGCCUUAACAGAACGUUCCAACCAAGAUGGAACCAGACGGAGCAGCACACCCCCCACCCGGUAGGCGGGCCCAUACUCCUCCUCCUAGAGACCUACCUUCCAUUCAGGCUGUCCUCCAACAACAUCAGACCCGAUUUACCACCUUGGAGGACAAACUCUUGUAGCGUUCGCUAGUCUGCUAGCAAGAUUGGACAACCUCAGUUCAGGUCAGGGGACACUCCCCACUCCCGUUUCGAGCUUCUCUGAGGCACCCGCCACCGAAGGACCGGCUGUCUUUCGCGAACCCAAGAUAGCCAGCCGUAAGACUUUUGACGGAGAAUUUGGACUUUGUCGAGGCUUCUUGGUUCAAUGUGAAUUUAUUUUACAACACCAACCUUCUCGCUAUGCUAAUGAUGGGGCCACCAUAGCUUUUAUGUUUUCCCUGUUUUCUGGUCCUGCCCUUAAAUGGGCUACUUCCGCCCUUAGCAAGUCUUCAGGACUGAACUCUAAUUAUUCUGCAUUUCGUAAGGAGUUUUUGGCCGUUUUUGACCAUCCUGCGGAUGGCAGAAAUGCUGCGGCCAGGCUUCAUUCCCUCAGACAGGGUCGCCGUUCCGUAGCUAAUUAUACCCUAGAAUUCCGCACUUUGGCAGCCGAGAGCGGUUGGGAUGAUAGGGCUCUUUUGAGUGCCUACAGAAGAGGGCUGAAUGAGACCAUAAAGGAUGGGUUGAUGCGAGACAGGCCGCCUUCUUGUGGCGAGCUAAUCGAACUAGCCCUCUUGUUCGAUCAGCGACUGUCAGAAAGAGAAGCUGAGAGGGAGAGCGACUUUGGCAGAACCAUUGCAGCAAGACCGCCCAGUUCUACCAGCCGGAACAUCACAUGACAGACUGGCAUAAUUAGUCCAGGUCCUAGCCCUUCACCAGAACCCAUGCAGAUAGGGAGAUCUCGACUCUCCUUUGAGGAACGGGAACAGAGGUUCCAACAACGUCUUUGUCUUUACUGUGGUUUGGCGGACCAUCAUAUUCGCAACUGCCCCUCUUGGCCAAAAGAUCAGGCUCACCAAUCACGGGGAUACUGGUGAGCCAUACUACAAUCCCCACAACUUCUUCCAGGCAGGCUCCGAGUACUUUGUUCCCUGCUACCUUGGGAGGAUAGGACGCUAUCUGUGGAGGCAUAUGUGGACUCUGGAGCCGACGAGAGUUUCCUCGACUUAAGAGACCAUCAGUUUCUGGGUCCUGAACGCCCCUGUGACACCACUUGUCCUCGGUCGAUCCUGGUUGAAUCUGCAUGAUCCCCACAUUUCCUGGUCCACCGGUAAGAUACUGGCCUGGAGCGACCACUGUCAUGCUAAUUGUCUCAGUUCUGCUGUUUUACGUUCCGAAGGACCCAGAUCGAUACCUUCCCCCGUUAACCUGUCUCUAAUCCCGGAGAUAUAUCAUGACCUAGCCCCCGUCUUCAGUAAGGAUCAAGCCUUGUCACUUCCACCCCACCGACCAUACGACUGCACUAUUGAUCUGAUUCCCAACGCAGUUCUUCCUUCCAGCCGGCUAUAUAACCUUUCCCUCCCUGAGAA